UCCCUCAUAGCUUAAUUGGGAAAGCACUGAACUUUUAAUUCAGGUGAUUUAGGUUCAAAUCCUAAUGGGGGAA
rnacentral:tRNA from 1 species